CCUACGGGAGGCUGCAGUGGGGAAUAUUGGACAAUGGGCGAAAGCCUGAUCCAGCCAUGCCGCGUGUGUGAAGAAGGCCUUCGGGUUGUAAAGCACUUUCAGUGGGGAAGAAAGCCUUGGGGCUAAUACCCUCGAGGAAGGACAUCACCCAUAGAAGAAGCACCGGCUAACUCCGUGCCAGCAGCCGCGGUAAUACGGAGGGUGCGAGCGUUAAUCGGAAUUACUGGGCGUAAAGCGCGCGUAGGCGGUCUGAUAAGCCGGUUGUGAAAGCCCCGGGCUCAACCUGGGAACGGCAUCCGGAACUGUCAGGCUAGAGUGCAGGAGAGGAAGGUAGAAUUCCCGGUGUAGCGGUGAAAUGCGUAGAGAUCGGGAGGAAUACCAGUGGCGAAGGCGGCCUUCUGGACUGACACUGACGCUGAGGUGCGAAAGCGUGGGUAGCAAACAGGAUUAGAUACCCUAGUAGUC
rnacentral:rRNA from 1 species